rnacentral:rRNA from 1 species
UACGAAGGGGGCUAGCGUUGCUCGGAAUCACUGGGCGUAAAGGGUGCGUAGGCGGGUCUUUAAGUCAGGGGGGAAAUCCUGGAGCUCAACUCCAGAACUGCCUUUGAUACUGAAGAUCUUGAGUUCGGGAGAGGUGAGUGGAACUGCGAGUGUAGAGGUGAAAUUCGUAGAUAUUCGCAAGAACACCAGUGGCGAAGGCGGCUCACUGGCCCGAUACUGACGCUGAGGCACGAGAGCGUGGGGAGCAAACAGG